UGCUCUUUUUAUAACAGCCAUCUCCCGUGGGAUCUAACCAGGGUCCCAUAAGAACGACAUUAAUCUGUUCCCAGGAUAGAACCCCCAGUGACUUACACCUUCCAUUAGGCCCCACCCCUUAAAGGGGCCCAUCACAUCACAACAGUGCUGAACUGAGGACAAAGCUUCCAGCACAACUUCUGGGGGACACACUUGAACUAUAUUCAACUCAUAGCUCUCACGGAGUGAUUCCUGAUCCUCGGGUUACGCCCUGCUACAAAAUGUUCCCAGGGCCUACUGCACAGAUCUCCUUGAUAAAUGCAUGUACUUGUUUCAUUUGAAAAUCCUCGCACUCAGCACCAGCCUUCCCUGCAGACUGCAGUUCCAUGAAGGCAGGACCUGAUUUUCUCACAGUUAUCUGCGAUGGGCCCAUAUUUCAGCACACAGCAAACUCUUGCUGAAUAAGUGAAAGCAUGUGACAAAGGCGGUGUGUGAACAAGGGGACCUCUCGUCAUUUCCCUAUGCUCCGAAUGCAGUGAAGGAAGACAAGCUGUGAAAACUCCAGGGGUUUUCAAUGGAUCAAGCAGAGGCUGAGGGGGCCCAUUCUGGAAAGGCACACAGCCAGCUUCUCAGAGGAGACACACAUCUUCACCAGGCAUUGAAUCCAGGGCCUUGUGCCCACUGGGCAGCCCUCUACCACAAGCACUGCCGGCUAGAAGCAGAGCCAGAAGAGAGGUCCCAAUGUCACAGGAGGGAGUAACUGGUUCAGGGAUCAGGAAAAGCCACACAGAGGGGACAGAACUCAAAGGCCAACCAGACUUCAAGAGGCAAAGACUGAACUCAGCCUUCUCAGGAGAGAAGGUCAAUGCCUGAGUCCCUGCAUCCCCACGGACCUGUGGAGACAGCCCCCCUUUCUAUCUUGUUUCCACCAAACCCCCAAGGAGCCCUCGUGAAUACAGCCAUGAGAUGCAAACAAACUUCUCAUCUUAUUCACUGAUUGUUCACAUA